AUACUUACCUGGUGCCGGGGCCUUGUUGAUCACCGAAGACGAGCCCCCAGGGCGAGGCGCGGGCAUUGCACUGCGCUGGCGUUGACCCCUGCCACUACCCCAAACUAGGGCAGAUGGGUCGUGUCAUGCAUCUUAAAUCCGGUGCAACGCCAGAGACGGCGUCACCAC
rnacentral:snRNA from 1 species